AUCGCUUCUGAGCCGUUUGGCUAAGAUCAUGUGUAGUUUUGUUCUUUUCAGUUUUAAUAUCUGAUAUACUGUACACCUUAGGUGGGGACUGAAUGAUAAUCUGAUUUUUGGAGGAAGUAGUUGCGUUAGGAGCAUGCUCCAUCAAAUUCGCGCAUUUUCCUAGUAUUGCAGUGCUUCUGAGAAUAGUGCACCCUCA